rnacentral:lncRNA from 1 species
UGAGCAAAGAUCGCGCCACUGCACUCCAGCCCGGGCGACAGAGCUAGACUCCAUCUAACAACAACAACAACAACACAAAAUCGCGCCACUACACUCCAGCCAGGAUGGUGAGACCCUGUCUCAAAACAAACAGCGGCAACAUAAAAAACCCAAAAACCAAACCAUAACAAAAAAAACCUGGAAAUUGAACUUGGGCCCCAGGAUGGAAACUGACUACCUGAAGAGGUGCUUUGGAAAUUGCCUGGCCCAGGCACUUGCACUUGACAUGCAUGGGGAAGAAGACAAUUUGAAAGAAAAAUCUUUGUCACCUUGGGUAAGCAAAGAGUUCUUGGACAUAAGACCGACACCAAAGGACAAACUGAUAAGAUCCUGGCCUUUACAGUUCAAGGUUAUACAUAAACGGGUCUGGUUAAGAUAGGCAUGUCUG